CUCCCAGACUCCUACGGGAGGCAGCAGUGGGGAAUAUUGCACAAUGGGGGAAACCCUGAUGCAGCAACGCCGCGUGAGUGAGGAAGUCUUUCGGUAUGUAAAGCUCUAUCAGCAGGGAAUAGAAAAGAAGGUACCUGAAAAAGAAGCCCCGGCUAACUACGUGCCAGCAGCCGCGGUAAUACGUAGGGGGCAAGCGUUAUCCGGAUUUACUGGGUGUAAAGGGGGCGCAGACGGCAGCGCAAGCCAGGAGUGAAAGCCCGGGGCCCAACCCCGGGACUGCUCUUGGAACUGCGCGGCUGGAGUGCAGGAGGGGCAGGCGGAAUUCCUGGUGUAGCGGUGAAAUGCGUAGAUAUUAGGAGGAACACCAGUGGCGAAGGCGGCUUACUGGACUGUAACUGACGUUGAGGCUCGAAAGCGUGGGGAGCAAACAGGAUUAGAUACCCGUGUA
rnacentral:rRNA from 1 species